UGGGGAAUUUUGGACAAUGGGCGCAAGCCUGAUCCAGCCAUGCCGCGUGAGUGAAGAAGGCCUUCGGGUUGUAAAGCUCUUUCGGUGGGGAAGAAAUUGCUUCGGCUAAUAUCCGGAGUAGAUGACGGUACCCGCAUAAGAAGCACCGGCUAACUACGUGCCAGCAGCCGCGGUAAUACGUAGGGUGCGAGCGUUAAUCGGAAUUACUGGGCGUAAAGCGUGCGCAGGCGGUUGUAUAAGUCAGAUGUGAAAUCCCCGGGCUCAACCUGGGAACUGCAUUUGAGACUGUACGGCUAGAGUGUGGCAGAGGGGGGUAGAAUUCCACGUGUAGCAGUGAAAUGCGUAGAGAUGUGGAGGAAUACCGAUGGCGAAGGCAGCCCCCUGGGCCACUACUGACGCUCAUGCACGAAAGCGUGGGGAGCAAACA
rnacentral:rRNA from 1 species